rnacentral:lncRNA from 1 species
CUUACUCACUUUCCUCUUCUCCCUCCCCAUGUUCGGUUUCUUCCUUAUCACUAACCACUAUCUAACUUAUUACAUAGUUUACUUGUUUAUCUAGUUCAUCAUCAAUUCCUGACUAGGAUGCAAACUCCACAAAGGCCGGGCUUUCGUCUGCUUUGUGGACCACGUUCAGCACCUGAGCCUCUCUCAUUCACACCCAGGCACCAGCUCAGUCGCCCUAGUACUUUGGGUGAAGAGGAAGGAAUAUGGGCAUCAGUGGUUCUUUUGUUCAGCCAAAGAGCACCCGGCACCAUCGGUCUGCUCUUGAGCCUGGCAAGUGCAUUUUUUUUUGGGAGCUACCCCACCAUGGAAUGCCAAGGAGUCCAGGGCAGGACACCAUUCCUAUCAGCAAACACUAGAACAGGGUAGACGCUGUGUGCCUCUGGUGUUUAUCACGUGCUGCCUCUAAUAAAUGCUAUUCACAACCACCACUAGACCAGGUCCCGUGCACCCUGACCCAUUUUAACAAACGUACCCAUUGAAUACAGUGAAGCUGGGGAAGCCCAGCCCAGGAGCAUUGCCUCACUGGGUCAGUCCCACUGCUGGGCUAGGACACCUGUGGUCCCUUCUUCUCACCCUGGAGCUGUGUCUGUGUGAGGGGCUUGCCCCUAAGCCAGCCCACCUGGCACCAUGAGGCCCCUGCCUUAUACAACGGCGAGUCGCCCCAGUUCGCCAUUGCAGCCCCGGACGUGCGCCUCCCGCGGAGCCGCUCGCUCUCCUGAGUCGGAGUCGGGAACCCGGCGUCCGUUGCCAUGGCGACUCCCAGGGAAAGUCUCCAUGGUAAAUGAAGGAAGCUCCAGUGCUGCCCCCAGCUGGACUCUGAGAACGCUGGCAGUUGGGGUCCUAUCACACAAGUAAGAGAUUGGAAGUCUCCUCGCUAUCAAGGUUGAAAAGACCCAGAGAAAAGACCCAAAGACACCAACACUGAAGGUCUCCCAGUGAAAUGGCCCAGUUAGGCCACAGCAUCAUGAGGCUCACAGUUGGCUUUCUUCACCUCCAGCAGAAUACAAAAUCAUCUUUUUAGUUUCCAAUUCUUAAAUAUAAACAGAUUGCAAAGAAUCACUGGAUAUUUGAGAAAAGCCUAAAACACGAUGGACAGAAGAGGAACCAGCACCAAGGAAAACAGAAGAAAAAAUAACUUGGAAGAAACAGAGACUAUGCACAAUAUAAAAACUUGAAAAACGUCAUCAUUAAUCAUUAGUAAUACUCUCAGACCGUUAAGAGAAGACGUAUCACUGGCCUGUGCUUUGGGAUCUGGAGAUAAUACUUAGCAUCAGCUGGGUGUGGUGGCUCAUGCCUGUAAUCCCAGCACUUUGGGAAGCCGAGGCAGGCAGAUCACCUGAGGU